GGAGAACCUUUUCCCUAGAACUCCCAUUUCACCCCUGCACGUCAGGAAAGUGACUGGAGACUGUCACAAGUGAAACAUAGUGGCUGGUGUAACACAGAGCUCUGAUGUGUCAGGAGCUGAACCCAUUGAUUAUAUUAGAUGUGAAUUUUUCCUUUCCUGUCCACUCACCAGCAGUGUGGAGAGCAAUUCAAAUCAUAUUUCCAUGAAUGUUUAGCAGCUGACUAAAUCUGCUAGCUGCAGAUUACCUGCCAAGAAGACACUGCAAACAAACCAUAUGUACAUUAUUAUACACCUAUUUACAUCUAAGGAACAGUCUAGUUUACUUUUAUCUAUACAUUUAUAUCAACUUUCACAGUGCUGGAACAAAGCAUUUUCAACAGGCAGUUGCUUCAGCAAAUAAUAUGCCCCCAUUGCUAGCUUUUCAGGAUACAUUUCUUGGAGAAUGGGUGGAAGCUUCCAGUAGCUUUGUCUACCAUUGAUGCAGCAAUGAGAAGAAUUAAUGAGCACUGAAAAUGUAGUUCAAACAUAGUACAACUUUCUUCCUUGUUCACUCUAGCAAUAUAGACAGGAUAGAUAUAUUCUGUCUGAUCUUCCUAAGGAUGUUAAUUUCCUACUGAUAUUACCCUGGUGGGUGGAAGUAGUAAUUACAGUUGCACUUAUACUGCAGUGGUAACUUUGCUUAUUGCCCCUUUUAAUCCCACACUGAAAGAAUGGAGCUUGCAGCAUCACAGCAAAGCAGUGCUGUAGCACCACAGUAGGUGUUAAAGGUCCACAUCAUUCAGAGCAAUGAAUAAGAAACUGAAGUAGUUGUGAGUUGGAGGACACUGAGAAACACUGAGAAAAUGAAAACUUAUCUCAAGAAGUAAGUUACCUUUCUGAGAAAGUACCAAGUCCCUCUGUUGUACGUGAAUAGUUGCUUUCCACCAGUUUUCUCUGUCUUGGCAAAGUUGCGUGCUCUACAUCAAUUCUUCUUGUGUGUCUUGUCACCACAAGAUAUACAUCAGAUCUAUCUUCUGUGGCCUAACAGUUAUGUUGUGGGCACCAAGGAUCCCUGUGUUUCUCCAAAGCAAUUGUGUUAAGCAUGAUGGACAUCAUCUGCUUCGCAGCAGAAGGCAGCUGGCUCUGCUAGAGCUGUAUCAUGAAGUCUGGAAGGAGAAAUUCUUAGUUAAUGGAGGAGUACAGUAAGUGUAUAUCUAGAUACACUAAUCUCAAUUUAGGCAUGAAUUUUUCUUCAGAACAGCAGUAAACUACGUAGAGUAUAUCCAUACAAAAACAGUGGUACGACGACAAUGUUAACAGUAGGGCAUUGUGAUGAAAGCAACCCAGCCCAGAGACACUUAUUACUAAAUAAUUUCUUAGCGUUCAAUGGCAUUCUUACUUCAUAGUAUUCCAGACUCAGUUAUAACUCCCUGGCUCAAGGCUAAAUUACAGGGAAAGAUGUGACCUACUCCAGAAGUGGUGGUGGAAAUCACAGCACUUGAGUAACUGCAUAUCCCAGUUACAGUUUCCGAAGGCUCCCAGCUACAUGUAUUUAAUUGCCAACCUUGAUUUUACCUUUAGGAAAAGUAGCUUGUAUACAUGCAUGGUCCUACACUUCCUUGUUGCACAGGCGAAGGACCCAACUCUACCUGAUUUAUCAGCUAACUCAGGUCAUAGGGACAGGGUCCAGCCAGCUACAGGACUGAGUCUUCUGUACAGAAAUACUACAAAGUUCUGGGUCUUCUUGGCCCUUUCCCCCCACCUUGACAUACAGUAGCUAGGGAACCUAUGGUACUUAAAACUGAAAAAAAAAAAAAAAAAAGUCUGCCAAUAAUAAUAAUAAUAAUACAAAAAAAAAAGGUUAAUUGAAUAUGUGGUAGGAAUGGGAAAUAGGAUUAGAGAUGACACUUAGAUCUAGAUGCCUUUUCCAAGCUGUGGAAAAAAAUAGAGCACAGUUAUUUUUCCCACAGCCUGAAGACCCAUGCCCUAAAUGUCAUCUCUAAUCUUGUUUUCUAUUUCUAGUGUAUAUUAUACAGCACUGCUAGUGCCACUAAAGUUAAGGUGGUGUCAGUGUUUCCAUUAUAAACCCCUAUUUUCAGAGGUUUGUAACUCAACCAUAAGAAUUUUUCUCUGGGCUGAAACUUGGCAAACAAGUUAAAGGACUGAAAUAUGUUUAAUUUUUUUCUUCCUAUAAUUAAAAAAAAAAAAAGUGGAAUUUUAACAACAAAAAUUUGCACGCCAUUAAGCUAUCAUAGAAACACACAAUGCACAGCAUUAGAAGUGAUUCCAAAAGUACUGUUAACAGCUUUUUGGAAUGAUUAUAAGGUGGUGGGUUUUGUUGUCAUUCUUUGUUCAAUUGAUUGCUUUUUACUUUCAAAUACAGAUAUACUACUAUAGAGGUAUUUUCUCUUUUUUUUUUUUUUUUUGUAAUAAAAAUAAUGAAUAGUUAUACAACCAGUUCAAAUCAUUUAAGCUUUAAAACUGUUUGUAAAUAUUUAUAGGACUGGGUCUGUAACCUGUAUUUUACAAAGGCCUCCAACUACAUAUUUAAAUGAUAAUAUGUAACAACGCUGUAUGACAGACAAAUAAGUCAAUAAUGAGCUUUUAGGAAACUUCAUAAAUGUAGUUACAUAGGCCAAUAAUCAGCAAGUUUUUCUUUCACAUGAAAAGGCUCCCUGUUUAGCUAAGAAAACCUUACUCAUGCAGAAAUAAUCAGAUUUUGUUCAUCUGUCCUUCCUUUUUCCAUGUGUCAUGGUAAUGAAAACAUUGUAUACACAAUUUGGCUAAUACAGGAAAGAUAUGAUAAAUGGCUACUAAGAUUUGAAAAGCACACUAUAAAAUGGGAAGAAUUAUUUAGAGUGAGACUCUAAAUAGAGUUGGAAUAAGGUACUAGGUAGACAACAAUAUCAGAAUCUGAUUCUUGACUGCCAUUCAAAAAAAAAAAAAAAAAAAGAAAAAAAAGUGGGGAUUAUUCUUCCAUCUAUCUAUGAGAGAUACUCCUGACCCUUACAGGAAGUGUUCUCUCUCUUUCAUAAUUGAUCUGGCUUAUUAAGUCUUAAGUGAGUAGCUACUGAAAGACCACAGAAACUACUGUGAAAAAAUUGAUUGAAAGUUUGUUUCUCUUACAAGAAAGAAAUGGAAGACACUAAUUCUGAUAUAGUAUAGAAUGAAAUAAAUAUCUGGAAGAUUUCACUGUUUUAAUAUGUUAAAACACAGAAAAGUGUGCACACUGUGGCCUAAAUUCCAAUCACUGUUCUCAUGCAAUAAACAUCAUCGGUUUAAAAGGGACCAACAUUUUUGAUCCUUUUAUAUCUUACUCAUAGUCACAGUCUCAGCACUGGGCAGCUCAUAAUUUAAUCACUGCAGCUUUCAGGAGAAACCUCGCAGUCUUUCGAUGUUUCAGCAUUAAGUUGUCUAACUUCAUGAUCAUUGUUAUAAAAUAGGAGAUAAAUCAGAAAGGAAGAUGGAUCUCUCCAAACACACAGUAAACACUUGGUGAAUAAAAAGGCACAUGACACCACACUUUGUUAAGGAAUUUACAGCAGGUGACCUGCCCCCUUUCACAGUGGCAGAAAUUGUAUUAUUCACUCCACAUAAUGAAUGGGUAGGUUAUGCUAAUCUGAAGAGGGGAGCUAUCAAUUGUAUAUGUCCAGGCCAUCCCUCCUAUUGAUUUUGUAAUUAAUGAUGAAUUUACAUUUUGUAAUGGAGAAAUUGCUGAGGAGGGAACUUCAUGGGGAGAAUAAAAAUGUUACAGUAGCUUAAUCAAUUAGGUACAGUUGACAAAUGGGUGCAGGAUAACACUACAAAGUACUGUGCUUUAGUAGUGGUCAAAGACUCAGAGAGAAGAUGUCACAUCACACCUGUAUUAAUAUUUCCAUGGGUUAAGUGGGAAUCAGCAGGACCACAAGAAAACUGGUAUCUCAAAAUCAUGAGUCUUUGAUACUAACUUGAAACCUAUUCGCUUUGUUCGCCAAUAAAAACAUUCAUAAUAACA